AUUGAACGCUGGCGGCAGGCCUAACACAUGCAAGUCGAGCGGAUGAAGGGAGCUUGCUCCUGGAUUCAGCGGCGGACGGGUGAGUAAUGCCUAGGAAUCUGCCUGGUAGUGGGGGAUAACAUCCGGAAACGGGCGCUAAUACCGCAUACGUCCUGAGGGAGAAAGUGGGGGAUCUUCGGACCUCACGCUAUCAGAUGAGCCUAGGUCGGAUUAGCUAGUUGGUGGGGUAAAGGCCUACCAAGGCGACGAUCCGUAACUGGUCUGAGAGGAUGAUCAGUCACACUGGAACUGAGACACGGUCCAGACUCCUACGGGAGGCAGCAGUGGGGAAUAUUGGACAAUGGGCGAAAGCCUGAUCCAGCCAUGCCGCAUGUGUGAAGAAGGUCUUCGGAUUGUAAAGCACUUUAAGUUGGGAGGAAGGGCAGUAAGUUAAUACCUUGCUGUUUUGACGUUACCAACAGAAUAAGCACCGGCUAACUUCGUG
rnacentral:rRNA from 1 species